AGUCGUAACAAGGUCUCCGUUGGUGAACCAGCGGAGGGAUCAUUACAGAGUUACUACUCCAAAACCCAUUGUGAACCUUACCUAUGUUCUGUUGCCUCGGCGGCGUGGUCAGCGCCCCCUCUGAAAAGAGGACGAUGCCCUCCCGCCGGCAGCACCAAACUCUUGAAUUUUACAGCGGAUUACAGUUCUGAUUUGAAAAGAAAAAACAAGUUAAAACUUUCAACAACGGAUCUCUUGGUUCUGGCAUCGAUGAAGAACGCAGCGAAAUGCGAUAAGUAAUGUGAAUUGCAGAAUUCAGUGAAUCAUCGAAUCUUUGAACGCACAUUGCGCCCGGCAGUAAUCUGCCGGGCAUGCCUGUCCGAGCGUCAUUUCAACCCUCGAACCUCCGUUUCCUCAGGGAAGCUCAGGGUCGGUGUUGGGGCGCUACGGCGAGUCUUCGCGACCCUCCGUAGGCCCUGAAAUACAGUGGCGGUCCCGCCGCGGUUGCCUUCUGCGUAGUAAGUCUCUUUUGCAAGCUCGCAUUGGGUCCCGGCGGAGGCCUGCCGUCAAACCACCUAUAACUCCAGAUGGUUUGACCUCGGAUCAGGUAGGGUUACCCGCUGAACUUAAGCAUAUCAAUAAGCGGAGGA
rnacentral:misc_RNA from 1 species